CUACGGGGCGCAGCAGUGGGGAAUAUUGCACAAUGGGCGCAAGCCUGAUGCAGCCAUGCCGCGUGUAUGAAGAAGGCCUUCGGGUUGUAAAGUACUUUCAGCGGGGAGGAAGGGAGUAAAGUUAAUACCUUUGCUCAUUGACGUUACCCGCAGCAGAAGCACCGGCUAACUCCGUGCCAGCAGCCGCGGUAAUACGGAGGGUGCAAGCGUUAAUCGGAGUUACUGGGCGUAAAGCGCACGCAGGCGGUUUGUUAAGUCAGUGUGAAAUCCCCGGGCUCAACCUGGGAACUGCAUCUGAUACGGGCAAGCUUGAGUCUCGUAGAGGGGGGUAGAAUUCCAGGUGGAGCGGUGAAAUGCGUAGAGAUCUGGAGGAAUACCGGUGGCGAAGGCGGCCCCCUGGACGAAGACUGACGCUCAGGUGCGAAAGCGUGGGGAGCAAACAGGAUUAGAUACCCCGGUAGUC
rnacentral:rRNA from 1 species